GAUGAGCAUGCGUCCCAUUAGCUAGUUGGUAAGGUAACGGCUUACCAAGGCUACGAUGGGUAGGGGUCCUGAGAGGGAGAUCCCCCACACUGGUACUGAGACACGGACCAGACUCCUACGGGAGGCAGCAGUGAGGAAUAUUGGACAAUGGGCGCAAGCCUGAUCCAGCCAUGCCGCGUGCAGGAUGACGGUCCUAUGGAUUGUAAACUGCUUUUAUACGAGAAGAAACACUCCUUCGUGAAGGAAUUUGACGGUAUCGUAAGAAUAAGGAUCGGCUAACUCCGUGCCAGCAGCCGCGGUAAUACGGAGGAUCCAAGCGUUAUCCGGAAUCAUUGGGUUUAAAGGGUCCGUAGGCGGUUUAAUAAGUCAGUGGUGAAAGCCCAUCGCUCAACGGUGGAACGGCCAUUGAUACUGUCAGACUUGAAUUAUUAGGAAGUAACUAGAAUAUGUAGUGUAGCGGUGAAAUGCUUAGAGAUUACAUGGAAUACCAAUUGCGAAGGCAGGUUACUACUAAUUGAUUGACGCUGAUG
rnacentral:rRNA from 1 species